AGACGUCUACAUUAGAUACCCCGGUAGUCCCAGCCGUAAACUAUGCGCGUUAGGUGUAUCGGUGACCACGAGUCACCGAGGUGCCGAAGGGAAACCGUGAAACGUGCCGCCUGGGAAGUACGGUCGCAAGGCUGAAACUUAAGGGAAUUGGCGGGGGAGCACCACAACAGGUGGAGCCUGCGGUUUAAUUGGACUCAACGCCGGGAAGCUCACCGGAUAGGACAGCAGAAUGAUUGCCGGGCUGAAGACCCUGCAUGACUAGCUG
rnacentral:rRNA from 1 species